GUCAGGAUAGCUCAGCUGGCUAGAGAGCUGGUCUCAUAAGCCGGAGGUCGGGAGUUCAAGUCUCCCCCUUGACACCA
rnacentral:tRNA from 1 species